UGUGAUGGAGUAAAUAAUAGUAAUGGUGAAAAAUGUAUAGGUGAUUAUAAAACUUACUUCUCAUUGCUCCUCAUAUUGCUAUCUCUCCUCCUCUCUUGAUCUUUGCUUUGGGAGAACAUGGGCUAUCUUUUUCUUCUUUUUUCUUCUCUUUUUUCAGGUGGGUAAUAAAUACCCCUAAUUCUACUGUCAGACAUUUGUCCAUUUUUUCUGCUCAAGUGGGCAUCUUUAUACCCCUAAUUCUACUCCGGACACUUGUCCAUUUUUACCUCUCGUCUCACUCUUUUCUUUCUUUUUCGAGGUUCCGGGCACUUGCCCCUUUUUAUUUCCUCACAUAUUUUUGCAUAGCCCAUGCCUCUUAUGCAUUGAAUCUUUUUGGAGAGAGAGAAUAACAACACUUUGGGACAGUGAGUGAUAACAAUAUUUUUAGCAGAUUUUUUAUGAAUAGUGGUGGAUAGUAUAAUAGAUGUGUGCAAGUGAGUAUCUUGAUUUAACCACAUGAAAAGCUCCUAAGAGUCUACACAGCUUGACCAAACUCAAUGUGAAUAUAAGUAGCAGCAGUUAUAGAAUUUAUAACAAGUAUGGCUGUGAUAGGAAUUUUGUCAUGCUAGGAACUCAUCUGUGAUUUGCA
rnacentral:lncRNA from 1 species